GACAGAGGUGCCAAGCGUUAGGCGGAAUCACUGGGCUUAAAGCGUGUGUAGGCGGAAUUGUAAGUACCUUGUGAAAUCCCACAGCUCAACUGAGGAACUGCUCGGUAUACUGCUUUUCUUGGGCCACUUAGGGGCUGUCGGAACAAAUGGUGGAGCGGUGAAAUGCGUAGAUAUCAUUUGGAACGCCAAUGGUGAAAACAGACAGCUGGGAGUGUGCUGACGCUGAGACACGAAAGCCAGGGGAGCGAACGGG
rnacentral:rRNA from 1 species